rfam:Pteropus alecto contig66464, whole genome shotgun sequence.
GUCUACGGCCAUGCCACCCUGAACACGUCCGAUCCUGUCUGAUCUCGGAAGCUAAGCAGAGUCGGGCCUGGUUAGUACUUGGAUGGGAGAUCACCUAGGAAGACCAGGUGCUGUAGGCG